GAUGAACGCUAGCGACAGGCUUAACACAUGCAAGUCGAGGGGCAGCGGGGAGGUAGCAAUACUUCCGCCGGCGACCGGCGCACGGGUGAGUAACACGUAUGGAACCUGCCCGUAGCAGGGGGAUAAGCGGAAGAAAUUCCGUCUAAUACCGCGUAAUAAUUCCGAGAGGCAUCUCAUGGAGUUUAAAGGGUAACACCGGCUACGGAUGGCCAUGCGGCGCAUUAGCUAGUUGGCGGGGUAACGGCCCACCAAGGCGACGAUGCGUAGGGGUUCUGAGAGGAAGGUCCCCCACACUGGAACUGAGACACGGUCCAG
rnacentral:rRNA from 1 species